rnacentral:rRNA from 1 species
CCUACGUGAGGCAGCAGUAGGGAAUUUUCGUCAAUGGGCGCAAGCCUGAACGAGCAAUGCCGCGUGAACGAGGAAGGUCUUCGGAUCGUAAAGUUCUGUUGAAGGGGAAAAAGAGCGGAGAGAGGAAAUGAACUCCGAUUGAUAUUACCCUUCGAGGAAGUCACGGCUAAUUACGGGCCAGCAGCCGCGGUAAUACGUAGGUGGCGAUCGUUAUCCGGAAUGAUUGGGCGGAAAGGGUGCGUAGGCGGCCUGCUAAGUCUGGAGGGAAAGGUACCGGCUCAACCGGUACAGGCUCUGGAAACUGGCGGGCUAGAGAGCAGGAGAGGGCGGUGGAACUCCAUGUGUAGCGGUAAAAUGCGUAGAUAUAUGGAAGAACACCAGUGGCGAAGGCGGCCGCCUGGCCUGUUGACUGACGCUGAGGCACGAAAGCGUGGGGAGCAAAUAGGAUUAGAUACCCUUGUAGUC